rnacentral:misc_RNA from 1 species
CCAGGAUUCAACGUGAAUUCCCAGCGAGUCCCCUUGAAGAACACCCUAUCUGUGAUCUUGGCAGCCAUUAGUUGGCCAAGAGGCACCACAGCAAUCUGGGCAGAGAUAGCUGUGAUUGAUAGAGGCUCUGUACGGUACCAAAAGAACUGGUUAAGAAAUGAUAAUAGGACACAAGAGAUGGUGCCCAAGACCCACAUUCGAAAUGUGAGGACUGGUAGAGAAG